GUCUCUAUGGCUCAGUCGGUAGAGCGUUGGUCUCAUAUUACAAUCAGUAUGACCCGGCUUCCAAGCUCGGGAUAUCCAAAGGUCGCAAGUUCGAGCCUUGCUAGGGACA
rfam:Colletotrichum sublineola strain TX430BB Scaffolds0316.1, whole genome shotgun sequence.